rfam:Picoides pubescens contig80108, whole genome shotgun sequence.
UGCCUCGUUAUUCAGCAGCUAGGCACAGCUCACUGUGUGUCUGAAUUGAAGAACGUGGCUAGAGAACCAACAGGUUAUGCUUUCCUCACUGCACACUUAGUUGCAGUGGUGACAAUGAGGCCUGUAACAGAU